ensembl:lncRNA
CUCUGACAUGUACAUCAACCAGGGUUAAUGUAUACUAUACCCCAUCCACAAUGAAGAGGCUCUGACAUGUACAUCAACCAGGGUUAAUGUAUGCUCUACCCCAUCCACAAUGAAGAGGCUCUGAUAUGUACAUCAACCAGGGUUAAUGUAUGCUAUUCCCCAUCCACAAUGAAGAGGCUCUGAUAUGUACAUCAACCAGGGUUAAUGUAUACUAUUCCCCAUCCACACUGAAGAGGCUCUGACAUGUACAUCAACCAGGGUUAAUGUAUGCUAUACCCCAUCCACACUGAAGAGGCUCUGAUAUGUACAUCAACCAGGGUUAAAGAGAAAGUUAACACUGUGAAAUGUUUUGUACUUAUUUGAAGUAAAGUGUCUGUUGGCGGAGAUCUUGGGUUGUGCCAUGGCGGAGAUCUUUGUGGGCUAUACUCAGCCUUGUCUCAGGAUGGACCUGAGCCCUAGGACCAUGCCCCAGGACUACCUGACAUGAUGACUCCUUACUGUCCCCAGUCCAUCUGACCGUGCUGCUGCUCCAGUUUCAACUGUUCUGCCUUAUUAUUACAACGACCAUGCUGGUCAUUUAUGAACAUUUGAACAUCUUGGCCAUGUUCUGUUAUAAUCUCCACCCGGCACAGCCAGAAGAGGACUGGCCACCCCACAUAGCCUGGUUCCUCUCUAGGUUUCUUCCUAGGUUUUGGCCUUUCUAGGGAGUUUUUCCUAGCCACCGUGAUUCUACACCUGCAUUGCUUGCUGUUUGGGGUUUUAGGCUGGGUUUCUGUACAGCACUUUGAGAUAUCAGCUGAUGUACGAAGGGCUAUAUAAAUACAUUUGAUUUGAUUUGAUUUGUGAGGCACAGCCUGUAAAAAAAAUCAUAUUUUUCUUGUGAAAUUAUUUUUUUGCCUUCUCUCUGACUCGCUCACAAAAUAUAGUACAUUCAUUGCAGAAAUAUUAUUUAAUACUCGUUUGCUGUAUUACUUUGUUUUUGAAUUAGUGUUGUUGCUUGUACCAGGGCGCAUUUAUGCAUUUGUUGACAUGCAUCCAAGGAUACCUUGACUUGCAUUGCAUACUCUCACUGCAGAAACAUUUUCUCAUGAAAACGUGUGACUUAUAGUUAGAGAAAAUGAUUUGUGCAACCGUGCCCUUCUACAAGCAGGAAACCAGUUGUGGAAGAACCAGAAAUGUAGCAUGUCUGUUUGUUAUUAAGCCUAGAAAAUUACUCUGUCAAUUAUCUUGUCAUCUUUUUGGCUAACCACAUUGGAA